rnacentral:rRNA from 1 species
UUGAAUCAGCUUGCUGCUUUGCUGACUAGUGGCGGACGGGUGAGUAAUGUCUGGGAAACUGCCUGAUGGAGGGGGAUAACUACUGGAAACGGUAGCUAAUACCGCAUAACGUCACAUUACCAAAGAGGGGGACCUUCUGGCCUCUUGCCAUCGGAUGUGCCCAGAUGGGAUUAGCUAGUAGGUGGGGUAACGGCUCACCUAGGCGACGAUCCCUAGCUGGUCUGAAAGGAUGACCAGCCACACUGGAACUGAGACACGGUCCAGACUCCUACGGGAGGCAGCAGUGGGGAAUAUUGCACAAUGGGCGCAAGCCUGAUGCAACCAUGCCGCGUGUAUGAAGAAGGCCUUCGGGUUGUAAAGUACUUUCAGCGGGGAGGAAGGCGGUAAGGUUAAUAACCUUAUCAAUUGACGUUACCCUCAGAAGAACCACCGGCUAACUCCGUGCCAGCAGCCGCGGUACUACCGAGGGUGCAAGCGUGUGUCGGAAUUACUGGGCGUAAAUCGCACGCAAGCGGUCUGUCAAGUCUGAUGUGAAAUCCCCGGGCUCAACCUGGGAACUGCAUUCGAAACUGGCAGGCUAUA